rnacentral:lncRNA from 1 species
GGCAGGUGAACUGGGUCCUCUGCUGCACCGUCUUCCUGCAUGAACAGCUCUGUCCUGUGGGGUCCCUGACACUGGAACCAGGAAGCUCUCAGAUUUGCUCUGAUGCCAACAAUUUGGCCAACACAUGCAAGAUUGAUUUAAACUUUUUAUCAUUUUUAAAGUUGCAGAACCAGAAGGUAAAAAAAGAAGGAAACCACCCCAAGUCCCACGGCCCUGACUCUGGGCCGGGUCGUCGUCGCUUCCCGGGCCAGCCCCACUCUCCUGGUGAUUCUCAGAUGCUCUGGGGCCCAGGCUCAGUCCUGGGAAGGCACCUCUCUGUCUUGCCCUUCCACGGUAACCUCAUCUGAUCUCAUGGCUCCAAGCACCCUCGGAAUGCUGAGGGCUCCUCAGCUCAGGACUUCAGCCCAGACACAUGGCCACCGGUCCAACGUGGCGUCAGCCUGCCCUCAGCCUUCAAGCAACUGCUGUCUCCCGCGCUGCAGCUAUGUCCCUUGGGAAUGUAGCACGAGUGGCCUCAGGCACAUGCAGCUAUUGGAGGGGCUCCUUUUCACUCAGCAAGGCUUCCUUGAGACUCCUCCAAGUUGCUGCACACACAGUUGUCCAUUUGUCUUCACACCAUGCACCUAUCAGCCACUGGGGGACACUGGCACUCUGUUCAACUCCUGGCGAUUACAAAUAGAGCCUCUAGGGACAUUCCUCUCAAUUCUCAUUUCUCUGGAAUAAACAUCCAGGAGUAUGACUGGGGGGUUGUAUGUUAAAUAUAUAUUUGUUGUUUUUUUUAAAUUCUGGUAGUAGAAAUUGAACCCAAGGAUAUUAACCACUGAGCACAUCCCCAGCCCUAUUUUUUUUUUUCACUUUAAGACAGGAUCUGGCUAUGUUGCCUAGGGCCUCACUAAGUUGCUGAGGCUGGCCUUGAAUUUGUCAUCCUCCUACCUCAGCCUCCUGAGUUGCUGGGGUUACAGGCUAUACCACCAUGCCUGGAUUGGCUUAAAUUUGAUUUUCUAAGGAACUGCUGACUUAUUUUCCAGACAGCGGUGCCAUCUGGUAGGCUCAAUAGCAACGAGUAGGAAGUCCAGCCUCUCUAUGGCCUUAUCAACAUCUGGUGUCACGUGCUCAAGCCAUAAUGAGUGUGAGCACCAUGUGGCACUGAGGACAGUGCUUGUGUCCUUGUCUAGUGGUGCUAAGGCCUUUCCUGUGUGUGCUACCACCUGCACGUUCGUCCUGAUGAAUUUUCCUCUCAUGAGUUUGCUCUUUU